UACGGGGGGAGCAAGCGUUGUUCGGAUUUACUGGGCGUAAAGGGCGCGUAGGCGGCCACCGCAAGUCGACUGUGAAAUCUCCGGGCUUAACCCGGAAAGGUCAGCCGAUACUGCGGGGCUAGAGUGCAGAAGGGGCAACUGGAAUUCUCGGUGUAGCGGUGAAAUGCGUAGAUAUCAGGAGGAACACCGGUGGCGAAGGCGGGUCUCUGGGCCGAUACUGACGCUCAUGCACGAAAGCGUGGGGAGCAAACAGG
rnacentral:rRNA from 1 species